CACGUAGGGCGCAAGCGUUGUCCGGAAUUAUUGGGCGUAAAGAGCUCGUAGGCGGUCUGUUGCGUCCGCUGUGAAAACUCGGGGCUUAACCCCGAGCCUGCAGUGGAUACGGGCAGACUAGAGGUAGGUAGGGGAGAAUGGAAUUCCCGGUGUAGCGGUGAAAUGCGCAGAUAUCGGGAGGAACACCUAUUGCGAAGGCAGCUUACUAAACUGUAACUGACGCUGAGGCACGAAAGCGUGGGGAUCAAACAGG
rnacentral:rRNA from 1 species